rnacentral:rRNA from 1 species
GGAUGCGAUCAUACCAGCACUAAAGCACCGGAUCCCAUUAGAACUCUGAAGUUAAGCGUGCUUAAGCGAGAUUAGUACUAGGAUGGGUGACCUCUUGGGAAGUCCUCGUGUUGCACUCA